UACGUAGGGUGCAAGCGUUGUCCGGAAUUAUUGGGCGUAAAGAGCUCGUAGGCGGUCUGUCGCGUCGGCUGUGAAAUCCCGGAGCUCAACUCCGGGUCUGCAGUCGAUACGGGCAAACUGGAGUACUGCAGGGGAGACUGGAAUUCCUGGUGUAGCGGUGAAAUGCGCAGAUAUCAGGAGGAACACCGGUGGCGAAGGCGGGUCUCUGGGCCAUAACUGACGCUGAGGAGCGAAAGCGUGGGGAGCGAACAGG
rnacentral:rRNA from 1 species